rnacentral:rRNA from 1 species
UACGUAGGGUGCAAGCGUUAAUCGGAAUUACUGGGCGUAAAGCGGGCGCAGGCGGUUUUGUAAGUCUGUCGUGAAAUCCCCGGGCUCAACCUGGGAAUUGCGAUGGAGACUGCAAGGCUAGAAUCUGGCAGAGGGGGGUAGAAUUCCACGUGUAGCAGUGAAAUGCGUAGAGAUGUGGAGGAACACCGAUGGCGAAGGCAGCUCCCUGGGUCAAGAUUGACGCUCAUGCACGAAAGCGUGGGGAGCAAACAGG